rnacentral:rRNA from 1 species
AAAAACAUUUCUAUUAGGAAUAAUUAAUAGUAAAAUCUGCUCAAUGAAAAUUAAAUAGCCGCAUUUGUGCUAAGGUAGCAUAAUAAUUUGUCUUUUAAUUAAAGACUAGAACAAAAGAUUUAACAUCUUAAUUUAUUUCUUAAAUUUAUAUAUUAAAAUUAUUUUAAAUGUAAAAAAACAUUUAUAUUUUAGAAAGACGAUAAGACCCUUUCGAACUUAACUUAAGUUUAACUGGGGCAGUUAAUUAAUUAUAAUUUUAAUUUAAAAUAUUUAAUCAAUUUAGACCUAAUAUAAUUAAAAAUAUAACCAAGUUACCGUAGGGAUAACAGCGUAAUAAAAUUUUUAAGAUCUUAUUUAAAAUAAAGAUUGCGACCUCGAUGUUGAUUUAAUUAUCCUAAUAAACGCAAUAGUAAAUAAAGGAAGUCUGUUCGACUUUUAAAAAAUUACAUGAUUUGAGUUCAGACCGGUGUAAACCAGGUCGGUUUCUAUCUUCUAUUAUUUCUUUUCUUCUAGUACGAAAGGACCUAAGAAAAUAAUUUAAUU